ensembl:lncRNA
GGGCAAAUGCCAAAGCAAUUGACCUCAAUUGCAUUUGCAGUAUUAGAAAAAAUACAGAAGUCUCCUAUUCAGCACUGCCAAUAAUUUCUGUCAUUAAAAAGGGUGAGUACAAUACAAUGAAGGUCUCACUUCAUCUAUGUUGCUCCAUAAAUAAUGCCUCCUAUUUAUUUCCUUGGAAACUACAAGAGAUACAAAGAGCACAGUAACGUUAUUUGAUAGAGAAAAUUCUCAGCUACAAAACACUAUUUUUCAGCAUAGUCACCACAGUUAGCUGUGCCUUUUCACCAGCAAUGAGAAGAGCUUUUGUGCUGUGCUUGUAAGAAUCUGUGCUAGCGGAGGUGACCCACUCUUACUGUCACUGCUGGUGAAACGCAGCACCCACUGCCUCACUGUGCUCACACCCACUGUCUGGUAUCUGUUAACAUUCAGCAAGUGUUAAUGAAUCCCAAUAGGUGCAAUUCCUCAUGGAGGAAUUCAGUUACAUACCUUUGCUUCAUAUGCACUUCCAUGUCAGAUGCCAUUCUAUCAGACUGCCCCUCUGCUGCCAUCUGUCACACGACAACACAGGGUAAUGAAUACUGGCAGGAAGGUUCAACCUCUACUGCUUUACCUCCAACAUCCACCUCUAACAUUGUGGGCCAGCAUGAUAAAAUAGGAAGCAUUACUUUUGUAGCAGUCCUUGCACGUACUUGCUCCCUAGCUUCACCAAAUUUGUGUUUCAGAAGCAGUAUGGAGCAGAACAGUCAUCACCACUCCACAUAACCUCAUGGACUGCUUUUGUCAAGGGGACUAUGCAGUUACCUCCAAAGUAGGACUAUUUCAUCCAGCUUUUGCUCGUUAAUGACAUUCUGUACAGUUAGGUAAUGUAUUUACUCACUGGUAUCAAGCUGAUAAGCACCUGUCAACUACCUGCCCCAAAAUGGGUGUAUUAUGUUGCCUACUUCCACCUGGGUCAGCAUAAAAAGCAAAUGCUGUCACACACUGAGCAAAGACACCUACCAUUUAGAGCAGCGCCCUGCACUAUGUGGCCUAGAAAAUACCAGGGCUGUGUAGGUUAAGAGCCUGUGAUAGCAAACUGGCCACGCUGAUUGCAUCAGUUGCACUGUGAGCUAUAUAAAAGUGUUUUCCAGAUUACAUAUCUCCAUAGGUUAUGCUGUCAUUAUAAGGAACUGCAUUUACGCAGUAGGGGAAUUUGAGUUGGAAAUGUGACACUGCUAGUAAAAAGGUGAACUGGAACAAAAAUUACCCUGGAAAGAAGCACCUUUCAUUUCAAAGAAUCUGUACUAAGCCUGAAGAGAGCAAAUAAUGAGCAAUGAAAGGAGUCUUUGUUAUGCUGUGAUUUCAAAGCUCUGCCAAAAUGUCAAAUAAUCCAUUUAAUCAAUCAGAAAAUUAAAGAAUGUGGUAAAUUCCCAAGGUAGUUUGAGAUUUUAGCUGUGCCAAGUAAUUCAGCUACUGCAUAAAGCUUAUGUCACAAUAGCAAUUACUUAAUAAGUAAUUUUUGUCUAACCAUGUUGAUGUAAAAAUACAAUUUAGUUUUCAAAUUAUUUGCAGCUGUGCUCUGAUAUGGAUACAGCUUGCAGUACCUCAGGAGAUGUUUACAUUUGUCACUUCAAGCACUGCUUUAAUCUAAUUUUUAUCACACUAUAGCCUUUAAAAAGUUCCUGUUACCUCAACGCACUAAGAAAUUGAUUUCUUAAAAUGGGUCUUCAUGAGAUAACAUAAGAAAAGGAAGGAACUAUCUGUUGAUUCACAUAGAAGUUUCAUUAUACGCUUCUGAUACCAGCUCCAAAACUCCUAUAGUUUCAAAUAUCAAUUCUUUAUAAUGUUUGCUUUUCAAACUUGACUAUUUGUUUCAGGACUGAGUUUAAUGCUCUUAAGAAUCCUAGAUUAUCACCAUUUAAGAUCUGAAAAUGUGAAACAGGCUACGCUGAACAUUUUUUAUGUUGUAGGCUGUGUUUUUCUAUCCCUCUCAAAGGACAAAUUUGACAGAGCUGUUAAAAGUGCAGAUUUUUGCUUUUAGCAGUCCUAAUGAAAUCACAGAUCCAUUUUGUCAAUGUGAAAUUAAACAUCAAUAUGUUAUUUUUAAAAAAGUUUUGAUGAGUAUUUAGAUGCAUUGCAUUGGUUUGGAAAACUUGAGAAUACUUUUAUUGUCAGCCAAAAUAAUUCACUACUACUGCAUAAAGAUGGCUAAGUUCAGCUGAAGUCGAAUAAGCCUUAAUUUUAAAUCAGACUAUUUUAGGUUUGGUUCUGCAUACAGAUUUCCAGGACUUUUUAUUUUAUUUUUUUUUCUGAAUGUUUUUGUGUUUUAUUUUAAAGAGCUGCACCUAUAUUUAUCAGUAACAAUAUGGACAAUCUCUUUUUCUUCCAUAUUUUUUAAAAAUUGAAAUGCUCACAGGAAAGAAUCACAAACUCCUUUAAAUAUAUAUUUUCACUACAGGUUUGUGGGGUUUUUUUUUGUUUUUUUUUUUUGUUUUGUUUUUUUUUAAAUAAGCAUUCAGUGUAACAAACAAAGCCUGACUUGCAUUCAUGACAGCAGGCGGUGAGUGUCUUUGUGAUCCUGCAGCCUAUUAGCAUGAUCUCCUUCAGUGGCCGGAUGAAUAGCGACCUUCCUUUCAGAAGCCACAGUGAGUUUUACAAAAGCAUCUGUGCAGAGGAGGGCUGGAAAGAAUCCAGAGUCAUGCAGCUUUCACCAACUCACUGAUCCUUUCUUUGGUUCUCUAUCUCUGCUGCUUAUCAACCUCUCUCUGUCCCCCUGCCUCGCAUUUCCCAGGACAAAGACUGGACAAAGACUAGCAUGAAGAUAGUAGAAGCAUCCUGCAGAAAUGAAUUGAAAUGGGCCAUAAGUUGAGAACUCCUCAGGGUGCACUCAGCUUCUUCAAAAAUUCAAGGACUUUGGCCAAAGAAUAAGCACCAAGUUGGUAACGAUUGACUACAGGUGGUCUUCAGAUUUUAACAGACUGGGGCAUCUCCUUGCAUUCCCCUUCCAAUGUCCUUCUAGAGCACAAGUGCUUCCAGGGUUGAAGAACCAGGGAAAUAUCCUCCUCAUUGCAUUUCCUUAUGGGGACAGGAAGAAUUAGCAUACAGACUUGGAGCCGUACAUGAAAUAAGAAAAAUAACAGUGCUUUUUGUCCAAAAUAUUUUUAAGAGAGAACUACUGCUUUCUGUAAUGAUUCUUCUAGUUAUCCUACUUGCUAGAGUUCUAAAAGUAACCUAGCUAAUUCCUUCAAAAUGCUAUUCCAGGUUGAUUAAAUCAACUAAAAAUUUAGGUCCAACCAAAGCAUUUUCAUUUCAAACCUGAAAAAAAAUCCUCUUGAAAAGUUCAUUUAUUCAAGCAAGUAGAAAUAUGGAGCCUGAACUCUACCCAGAACUAUUCAUAAUGGGUAGCAACACAAUAAGAGGCAAAUUUAUGUGGAUAUAAAAAAUGGACUUCAUUCUGAAAAUAUGCAUAUUUUCCAUGGGGGGAAAAAAAAAGCUAUUUUCAUUUUAGAAAUGUCUGCUAAGGAGUAGCAAACCAGAAACAAUUGCCAUCCAUGUUAUAAAAGGGGAGAGAAAUAUCAAAACUCACAUAACAUUUGCCAGAUGGCCAAGUUACGGGUGAUAGUUUGUAAUUAAAAAGAGUAUAAGGGAGAAGGAUUGAAAGUAAUACAUUGUGUACAGUGUUUUUUGAGAAAUCAAGAAAUCAACCACACUGACAAGGCAACUUACAAGCUAACCCUAGGAAUUAAAAUGAUGCUGAAUUAUUUGGUCAGAAAAACUUACUUAUCUCUAUGCACAUAGAUCCUUCUACCCACCGACCAGUCAACUGAAAUAGCAGCUCAACUUCUUGUCAUAUAAUGCUAAGCUUCAUUUUCCAAAGUCCAGCAUAGUGUUGUGGAUGAAGUCAACUGAUUCUUCCAUCAGCCAGGCAAUGACAGUGCUAGGAGAACAGGAGUGACGAAAAUAGAGUUUAACUGCAAUCUACGAUUAAACUGGAUGAAAUGGAGAAAAAGAAUACAGGAGAGCAUCUGAAACUGUCUAAAGAACUUUGUCCUAGGUUUCUGGUAAGUAAUCACCAUAUCCAAAGUAAACAUUGAAAACAUCUGGGGGCAAAUGAUGAAGACAGUUUUUAUCUUAACCAAAUACAAAGUUGAAAGACAAGACCGGAUUAUUCUCUUGGCAGUUCAUCCUGGAUACUUUUGGAAGCAAUUCUGUUAAAACAUAAAAGGCAAAUACUUUGCUUUCUAGCAGAAAUCUGCAAGUAACUUGUUUUGCAAAGUUUUACACAUUUUACUUCACGUGACAUCAUGUGUGUAAG